rnacentral:ncRNA from 1 species
AUAAAUGCAUUGAUGGAAACGAGUAUGUCUGAUAUGUGGACGCAGCGAACCCGGGCAAGGUGAAAGCCGGGUGUCAACAACGGGCAGAAAAUCCUUCCGGAGCAGCGAUCUGAACACGGUGUUACCGCCAGUAAGGGAGCCGUCAUUGCCAGACGUUAUCCAGGGCACAGAGAUAAAUGCGUCUCUGACCGAGCGCCAGUUUUCUUACUGGAAGCAGGGUGGUACCGCGGGAAUUUCUCCCGCCCCUGAA